AGCUUUGUGCAGUGGCAGUAUCGUAGCCAAUGAGGUUUAUCCCAGGCAUGACUAUUGCUAAUUGAAAACUUUUCCCAUUACAUCCUACUAUAAAAUCCACUACUGGAAUUAAACUCAGCUUUCUAGUUUAGAGGCGUAUACUUUCUGGUGCAUUUCCAGCUUCCUGCUGGUCUUUGGGUCACAAAAGAGAU
rnacentral:snRNA from 1 species